CCCAGACUCCUACGGGAGGCAGCAGUCGGGAAUAUUGCGCAAUGGAGGAAACUCUGACGCAGUGACGUCGCGUAUAGGAAGAAGGUUUUCGGAUUGUAAACUAUUGUCCACAGGGAAGAAAAAAGACUGUACCUGUGAAGAAAGCUCCGGCUAACUACGUGCCAGCAGCCGCGGUAAUACGGAGGGUGCAAGCGUUACUCGGAAUCACUGGGCGUAAAGAGCGCGUAGGCGGGAUAGCAAGUCAGAUGUGAAAUCCUAUGGCUUAACCAUAGAACUGCAUUUGAAACUGUUAUUCUAGAGUAUGGGAGAGGUAGGUGGAAUUCUUGGUGUAGGGGUAAAAUCCGUAGAGAUCAAGAGGAAUACUCAUUGCGAAGGCGACCUGCUAGAACAUAACUGACGCUGAUGCGCGAAAGCGUGGGGAGCAAACAGGAUUAGAUACCCGCGUA
rnacentral:rRNA from 1 species